CCUACGGGAGGCAGCAGUGAGGAAUAUUGGUCAAUGGACGAGAGUCUGAACCAGCCAAGUAGCGUGAAGGAUGACUGCCCUAUGGGUUGUAAACCUCUUUUAUAAAGGAAUAAAACGAGGCACGUGUGCCCUUUUGCAUGUACUUUAUGAAUAAGGAUCGGCUAACUCCGUGCCAGCAGCCGCGGUAAUACGGAGGAUCCGAGCGUUAUCCGGAUUUAUUGGGUUUAAAGGGAGCGUAGAUGGGUUGUUAAGUCAGUUGUGAAAGUUUGCGGCUCAACCGUAAAAUUGCAAUUGAUACUGGCAGUCUUGAGUACAGUUGAGGUAGGCGGAAUGCGUGGUGUAGCGGUGAAAUGCUUAGAUAUCACGAAGAACCCCGAUUGCGAAGGCAGCUUACUAAGCUGUGACUGACAUUGAUGCUCGAAAGUGUGGGUAUCAAACAGGAUUAGAUACCCUAGUAGUC
rnacentral:rRNA from 1 species